rnacentral:tRNA from 1 species
GGUAAAAUGGCUGAGGAAUAAGCAUUGAACUGUAAAUUCAAAGACAGAGGUAGAAUCUCUUUUUACCA